UCAUGAUGAACGCUAGCUACAGGCUUAACACAUGCAAGUCGAGGGGCAGCAUUUUAGUUUGCUUGCAAACUAAAGAUGGCGACCGGCGCACGGGUGAGUAACACGUAUCCAACCUGCCGAUAACUCGGGGAUAGCCUUUCGAAAGAAAGAUUAAUAUCCGAUAGUAUAUUAAAACCGCAUGGUUUUACUAUUAAAGAAUUUCGGUUAUCGAUGGGGAUGCGUUCCAUUAGUUUGUUGGCGGGGUAACGGCCCACCAAGACUACGAUGGAUAGGGGUUCUGAGAGGAAGGUCCCCCACAUUGGAACUGAGACACGGUCCAAACUCCUACGGGAGGCAGCAGUGAGGAAUAUUGGUCAAUGGACGAGAGUCUGAACCAGCCAAGUAGCGUGAAGGAUGACUGCCCUAUGGGUUGUAAACUUCUUUUAUAUGGGAAUAAAGUAUUCCACGUGUGGGAUUUUGUAUGUACCAUAUGAAUAAGGAUCGGCUAACUCCGUGCCAGCAGCCGCGGUAAUACGGAGGAUCCGAGCGUUAUCCGGAUUUAUUGGGUUUAAAGGGAGCGUAUGUGGAUUGUUAAGUCAGUUGUGAAAGUUUGCGGCUCAACCGUAAAAUUGCAGUUGAAACUGGCAGUCUUGAGUACAGUAGAGGUGGGCGGAAUUCGUGGUGUAGCGGUGAAAUGCUUAGAUAUCACGAAGAACUCCGAUUGCGAAGGCAGCUCACUAGACUGCAACUGACACUGAUGCUCGAAAGUGUGGGUAUCAAACAGGAUUAGAUACCCUGGUAGUCCACACAGUAAACGAUGAAUACUCGCUGUUUGCGAUAUACAGUAAGCGGCCAAGCGAAAGCAUUAAGUAUUCCACCUGGGGAGUACGCCGGCAACGGUGAAACUCAAAGGAAUUGACGGGGGCCCGCACAAGCGGAGGAACAUGUGGUUUAAUUCGAUGAUACGCGAGGAACCUUACCCGGGCUUAAAUUGCAUUUGAAUAAUCUGGAAACAGGUUAGCCGCAAGGCAAAUGUGAAGGUGCUGCAUGGUUGUCGUCAGCUCGUGCCGUGAGGUGUCGGCUUAAGUGCCAUAACGAGCGCAACCCUUAUCUUUAGUUACUAACAGGUCAUGCUGAGGACUCUAGAGAGACUGCCGUCGUAAGAUGUGAGGAAGGUGGGGAUGACGUCAAAUCAGCACGGCCCUUACGUCCGGGGCUACACACGUGUUACAAUGGGGGGUACAGAAGGCAGCUACCUGGCGACAGGAUGCUAAUCCCAAAAACCUCUCUCAGUUCGGAUCGAAGUCUGCAACCCGACUUCGUGAAGCUGGAUUCGCUAGUAAUCGCGCAUCAGCCAUGGCGCGGUGAAUACGUUCCCGGGCCUUGUACACACCGCCCGUCAAGCCAUGAAAGCCGGGGGUACCUGAAGUACGUAACCGCAAGGAGCGUCCUAGGGUAAAACUGGUAA
rnacentral:rRNA from 1 species